rnacentral:rRNA from 1 species
UACGGGGGGGCAAGCGUUGUUCGGAAUUACUGGGCGUAAAGGGCGCGUAGGCGGUUGGAUAAGUCAGCUGUGAAAACCACGAGCUCAACUUGUGGCCUGCAGUUGAAACUGUCUGGCUAGGAGUGUGGGAGAGGGAAGUGGAAUUCCUGGUGUAGCGGUGAAAUGCGUAGAUAUCAGGAGGAACACCGGUGGCGAAGGCGGGUCUCUGGGCAGUAACUGACGCUGGAGGAGCGGAAAGCGUGGGGAGCGAACAGG